rnacentral:rRNA from 1 species
UACGUAGGGGGCGAGCGUUGUCCGGAAUUACUGGGCGUAAAGGGUGCGUAGGCGGUUUUGUAAGUUGGAUGUGAAAUCCCCGGGCUUAACUUGGGGGCUGCAUUCAAAACUGCGAGACUUGAGUAUCGGAGAGGGAAGCGGAAUUCCGAGUGUAGCGGUGAAAUGCUUAGAUAUUCGGAAGAACACCUGAGGCGAAGGCGGCUUUCUGGACGACAACUGACGCUGAGGCACGAAAGCGUAGGGAG